rnacentral:lncRNA from 1 species
CACAACAUACGGUACGAUGCCAUGACGACGACGACGACGUACGCGCGCUCAGUUGGACCGCAUUUUGUUGAGCUGAUUGAGCGCCGGCUGCAGAAUGUUGUAGAGCACCCAGCCGAGGGCGGGCGCCACCACGAAAAGCAGCAGCAGGCCCCGGUUGUCGUCGGCCGGCGCGACCGCCGCCAGCGCGGCGAGCUCCUGCACGGCGGCGGAGGCCGGCUCCGGCACGGCGGCCAGGCCGGCGGCCGCGGCAGCGCCGAUGCCCAGCCCGGCGACGAGCGCCUUCUCGGACCGCAUCUUGUUGAGCUGGUUCAGCGCCGGCUGGAGGAUGUUGUAGAGCACCCACCCGAGCGCGGGCGCCACCACGAAGAGCAGGAGUAGGCCCCGGUUGUCGUCCGCGGGCGCCGCCGCCGCCACGUCCGCGAUCCGCUGCGACGCCAUCGCCGCGUCCGACGAGGCCAGCGAGGUGAAGAAGGCGCUCGCCAUGGCAGCGGCCGCCGGCGACACGGCCAGGGCUCCCUUCUUGGCCGCGUUCUUCUGCAGGCUGCGCAGCGAGAUGCUCGGCGACGCCACCUUGGCGCUGGACGACGUCGACGACGAAGGCGCCGACCUCGCCGUGAUCUUGGCGGGCUUGAGCAUGGUCAUCGUGGCUAUGGUCGCCAUUGACGCCUAGCUCCCUGGUUGCUCGCUGCCUUCUCUCCCUCGCAAGAAGCUCUCACGCUGGCAAAAAGGUGGAUGGAGGGGUGCUGUGGGGUGCGCGGGUGUGUAAUGCGAUGCCCUUCCCUUCCCCUGCGUUUCUAGAACGGACGAUGUGGCGUGGCUAGCUUAUCUUGUGCGGCGAGUGUGCGAUGGAGGUUUGAAAGCUUAUCUCGCGGCCUGCAACUUGCAAUGCCAUUGGCUGUGGGAGCAACUAGGCGGGGACCACACGAUUUACAUGGAGACUUUGGUGAGAGGAAGUGGAGUCGUGAAAUGAAUCGGAAAUUCAGAUAUCUCACAGUAGUAGGAAUAUAAGCGUGCCCUAGAAUGUCCUAUGGUACCAAACGACAAGAUCGUAUUCGUCUCAAGAAAAGACAAGAUCGGAGAUCGUCUGGAUUGAAACGUCUAGGUAUUUUCGGUGAAUUUCAGUUAAAAAUACACGAAAUGACGUUCAUCUUCGUGCUCCACAAUGUCUUUCCUCUUCGUUUACGCUGAUCAUUGCAGAACUAUUCUGUAACACAGACGAAGGAAGUAGACAACACCAUCCAAACGUUGAUAAUAAUUAAUAAGUUUAUGAAUUACUUCAUGCAUGAGCAUCAAAAUAUGAUGAACCACCAAACUAGAUACAGCACGGAAAGAACAAAAUCUGGUAGCAAUUAUUCACUCCCUACACGGAAUCGCCAGGCGUUUCCAUCCAUUAUUCGUCAGGGUAGAAACCAUGGAGCAAAAACAAACCAAAUGGCAGGCUGAUUACAACUUUCCGACAUCUCCACGGGGGAAGACCCUGCUCUGCUCACACUCAGGCUCCGAGCUGCAGCUUCUUUAUUGUGUCGAUCUGCUUUGCAGGGUUCAGCCCCUUGGGGCAGGCAUGCGUGCAGUUCUUGAUGGUGUGGCAGCGGUACAGCUUGAACUCGUCGUUGAUGGAGUCAAGGCGCUCCUUUGUGAACUCAUCACGGCUGUCUUGGAUCCACCUGGGAAGAACCAAUGUGUUUAUGGCACACGCCAAAGAAGCAUGUUAUAUCUCUCAGACACUGCAGUCGUAAGCCCAAUCCAAAGAACCAAUGUGUUUAUGGCUCAAGGCAUUUGAAACACUUGCAGAUAUGUGAAAAUGAUACUUAAACAAGUUAUAAAUGACUAAGAUGUUUCCCGGUUCUUCUGACUAAGGGCACUUGCAAUUAUUAGUCAAAAGAUAUUGUUCAAAUUUUUGUGUGCCUUAUAUCAGAUCAUGUUUUAGAUUAGAAGUUAAAAGGGCAAAUUGUGACAAACAAUAUGAUAAAUCAGAGGAUCAGAUAUACUAAAUCUCAGUGCACUCAUCAAAUAAAACCAGAUGAGAUAAAUAUUGAAUCAAACAGCCAGCUUAUAGAAACCUUGAACAAUAGAAUCUUUAGCUUCAUAAAUGCUGAAUAGCAUGAAAAACAGUACAUUACACUGCCUCAACUAAAUAAAGAGAAAACCAUGCCGUUUGCUGGCAGUAAAAAAACUUGACAGAUAGUUUCAGGAAUCAAACACUGAAAGAGGGCAACCUUAUUUUGCUGGCCUACUGAAGAGCUAGUUCUUUCUUCUACCCAUCUGUUAACAUCUACCAAGAUGCUUUCUUAACACCCAUCAGUUCACCCUUAUUUGCCAAGGUACGGAACACGAUACGAGACAUGCGGAAUUUUUGGUAGACACCACGAGAGCGGCCCGUGAAAAUACAGCGGUUUCUAAGACGUGUCAUGUUACUAUUUCUUGGCAGCUUGGACAACUUAUAGCGAAACUUAUCCCGCAUAUCUGAUGGAAGAUCAGGGUCCCUACAGACAGACUUAUAAAGCUUUCCUCUCAGCUCAUAUUUUGCUGCAAGCAAUCUACGUUUGUGAUCACGCAUGUUUCUCUUCUCUGAGACCCCAUGAUAUCCUCGAGCUUGGACGUGCAUGAACAUGCUGGGUUUUGGUUUCAUUAGCGUCCCCCACAGCGGAAGCCUAAAAAGGGUGAACGGGUGAACGUGUCAUGGACUUAACAACAUCCUAAAGCUUACAACAAAAGGCAUUAAAUAUAUUAGACAAUUAGCAUUUUAAUUCUGGUAGAACAUAACCAUAAUUUGCGGGUAAAGGGGGAAACUAGCAUGCUCUAUACUGAAAGAGAGGUUACCACAAAUAAAAGUAACUUCCAAAUCAAGGCCACCUCAAGAAUUAGGCUACUAGUGGGGGGAUAGGGGGGCUAGGACUUCCGAUGUCAUCCACAAUCCUAAUAAGGAAGAAGACUCGCGAAGUCAUGAAGAAGCAGACUGCUGAAAUGACAAACUCAUGAUUAUUUCCAACAGUGGCGCAUCAACUUCCAAAACAAUCAGCCAAAGACCAGAUAAAAAAGAAUAAAAACAGUCCCUAGAUAAGGCAUUCUUCAACCAAACGGACAUUUCACAGUACCCACCAAAUGAUCAUCUACACUGCUUCGCCGGGGAGCUAGCAAAGAAGUAACAGAUGAUCAUUGCAUAAAUGGACCUAAUAAUAUAUAUACAAACAGUCACUGAUGCCCAAAAUGUAUAGGCAUUCUUCAACCAAACGGGCAUUUCACACUAUCCGCCAAACAAUCAUGUACACCGCUUUGCCAGGGAGCUAGCAAAAAAGUAACAGAUGAUCAUUGCAUAAAUGUACCAAAUAAUUCACCACCACAUACCAGUGAACAAUUCUCCUAGAUAAAACGCACAUAGUUGCAUGCCUAGAACUACCUAGGCGAGAUGAAACCACCCUACGUAUCAUCCCACAACCAUUUCACAGCAUGACACACCAACCGAUCAAUCACAUGUCACUCGGUAAUCGAGUAGAUCCAGCACACAGAAGCAACAUACUCAGCAUAUCAUCACAAUUCACGAUAUCAAGAGAAUACGAGCGAGGCGCAGGUAUACCUGUUGGCAUGGAGCAGCGCUGCGGGGCCGAGAUACUCUUCUGGGUUCCACCAGUAGGACGGGCAGGAUGUGGAGCAGCAGGCGCAGAGGAUGCACUCGUACAUGCCAUCGAGCUUGGCGCGGUCGGCCUUGGACUGGUAGAUCUCCUUCCCUCCGGCCGACGCCGGGUCCUUGCGCUUGAGCCACGGCUCGACGCUCUUGUACUGGUUGUAGAAGUUGGUCAUGUCGACGACGAGGUCCUUGACGACGAACAUGUGCGGGAGCGGCGAGAUCGUGGAGGCACCGGCCGCCUCCGAGGAGAUCUUGGUGAGGCAGGCCAGCCCGUUGUCGCCGUCGAUGUUCAUGGCGCAGCUGCCGCAGAUGCCCUCGCGGCAGCUCCGGCGGAAGGUGAGGGACGGGUCCUGCUCGUUCUUGAUCUUGAGGAGCGCGUCGAGCACCAUGGGGCCGCAGUCGGAGAGGUCCACCUUGUAGUCCUUGAGGUGGGGCUUCGUCGACGGGGAAUCCGGGUCCCAGCGGUAGAUCGAGAAGGUCUUGGUGCUAGCAGGCUUCGAUGAGGGCGGCGGCGGCGC